rnacentral:rRNA from 1 species
GAUGAACGCUGGCGGCGUGCUUAACACAUGCAAGUCGAACGAAGCACCUCUCCCGAAGAUUGACACAGCUUGCUGUAGAUUGAUUCAUUUGAGGUGACUGAGUGGCGGACGGGUGAGUAACGCGUGGGUAACCCGCCUCAUAGAGGGGGACAACAGUUGGAAACGACUGCCACUACCGCAUAGUAAGAAGAAUUCGCAUGUUUUCUUCUUGAAAGAUUUAUCGCUAUGAGAUGGACCCGCGUCUGAUUAGCUAGUUGGUAAGGUAACGGCUUACCAAGGCGACGAUCAGUAGCCGGCUUGAGAGAGUGAACGGCCACAUUGGGACUGAGACACGGCCCAAACUCCUACGGGAGGCAGCAGUGGGGAAUAUUGCACAAUGGGGGAAACCCUGAUGCAGCGACGCCGCGUGAGUGAAGAAGUAUUUCGGUAUGAAAAGCCCUAUCAGCAGGGAAGAUAAUGACGGUACCUGACGAAGAAGCCCCGGCUAACUACGUG